GUAUCUUUCUCUGUUGUAGGUAACUCUGGCUAUUCUGAAGCUCUUUAAUUCGCCAUUAUUUUAUAAAACGCAGAAAAGUAAAAGAAUUUUAAUCAUUUAAUUUUAAUGAAAAUUGUUAAAAUUUAUGAAAAAGUUUUUCCACAAGUGCGUGCAACAUUUUUCAAAAGGUAUUCUGCCAAGAAUUGCCGGAUUUCUAACUAAAAAAAUCAAUUGAAAAAAUUUUGUGUGUGUGUCUCUCUCCUAGUAAGAAAAAGAAAGAAAAAAAAAACGAAACGAAAAAAAGAGUGUAGUGAAAAAAUGCGAAUAUAUUUCAGCAUUAAAAGGCUGGAUUUUGCAAAAAGGAAAUAAAAAAUAUUGAAAACUAAAUAUAUAAAAAUUGUAUUAAUAAAUAAUCUGUUGAAAAAAAAUAAAUUGCAAAAUUAAAAAGGAACCUUUAAAAGUAAAAAAAAAAUAGAAAAAAUAAAAACAAUUAUCUAUACGGCUGACCUAAGGUGUCAAUUCUAUUCGUGAAAAUCUUAUUCAUAAUUUUUUUUAUUCUUUUCCCCUUCGUCACAAUUGAAUAGAUGUAUCAAUCAUCCAUGAAUUAAAAAAAGAAAAACACCAAAUCUCAAAUAUUUUACUUUUAUUGCGAUAAUUUUUGAGUGUGUGCAGCAAUUUGCUCCAACAAAUCAAAUAUACAACCUGAUUUGAAAAGAAAUAAUUGAAUUAUUUAAUAAUAAUAAAUUCCUUUAUAUCUAUAAAACUAAUAAUCGUUGUUGUAUUUUGAAAAUAUACCCGUGGAAUCUGCCCAACUGGCUGAAAAUCAAAAAUUUACUUUUGAAUUUGGCUCAGACAAUAUAAAACAGUUAAAAUAUUGAUGUGAUAACAAGUAUAUUUCAAAUCUAAUUGUUGCCGUUAAUUAAAAUCAUAAAAAUCUGUAAUACAAACUAAAAGUUUGGAAACAAAAUUCUAAAAACGAAAAAAUUUAGAAAAUUUUGGUGCUAAUGUGCUAAAAUUGGAGAAAAAUUUAAACUAAAACGCAUUACACAAGUGAGAGUGAGAGAUUGAUAGAGAGAACAAACAACGUGCCAUCAUUAUCAUCAUCGUCAUCUUUAAUAACAACAACAACAACAACAGCAGCAACAACAACAUCAUUAAUUCUAUACAAAACAACAAAUCAAUACAAUAAACAAUCACCAACAAAAACAACAACAUCAAAAACUACUACAAAUCAUGGAAGCUUAGCGAGAGUAUUAAACGAUACAAAAUCUAUAUAAAAAAAUUUUAAUCCGUAGCAGAAGAAGAAUAUUAUAAUAAUUU